rnacentral:tRNA from 1 species
AGUUAAUGAACUUGAAUAAGUAUAUAUUUUGAAAAUAUAAGAUAGGGAUAAAAACUCUAUUAACUU